CGUUAACGUCAACGCCGUUCUAAAGUUUCGCUCCUUUUUCUCAAAUAAAAAAUGUUUGAUUCAAAUUAGGGAAACUCCUCAAAAUUUCACAAUUUCGCGUAAAUCAAACCCAAUUUAAUUAUAUCCUCCUUUUCAAAACCCUAAUUACCGUCUAACUAAACCCUAAUUCUCAACCAUGUUAUAAGCGAACAAUUUCUGUUUUGAUUGCAGAGAAAACAACGGAAUAUUAGCUGAGAAAGUGAAUACACAAUGAAGGUUUGCAGCUCUUGUGGAAAAAAAGGUCUCCACAACUCGCGAAGAUGGAUGAAAUCGAGUCAUGCAAUAUCUGCGGGAAAGUUUUGGAGUUUCCGGGCUUCAGAGCUAAUCCCCUAUUUAUAAAUGGGGAGGUAGUGCCGAGACUCCUAUCGAAAAUCCCAAGUGAAAACAUUUCACGGGAAAGAUUGUAUGAAAAAGGUUUGUUUUGUUGCGCUUCUUUCCUUGUUUGUUCAACAAUACAUCUGUUUCCUAUAAAAAAGUUUCGAGCACGUGCCAUUAUUUUCAAAUUUCUUGCUAGAAUAGAUAGAAAACUGUGUUUACUUGCCAAAAGUUGAAACUGGAAUGACCAUGUUUCUAUUUUUUCAAGUUUGUGAAAGUUGAAGUUUUACUUAGUAAUUGAACUAAAUUAUUUGAAUUUUGAUUUGUGUAGUUAGCUAACUAGUAUACAUGCUUUCGAAUAAUUUGGUUAAAACAAAAGUUUUAUGAAGAGUACAUCAUCAUUUUUCUGCAAAGUGCUGUUGGUUGCUAUUUAUCACUAGAAUUAUUGUUUAGAUUUGUAUAAUUUAUGCGUUUUAGUUCAAUUUCAAACCGAUAAGCUGCAUUUAGAAGAUGAUAUGACUUCUAAUUCUUUAGAUGACUCAAAUGACUUUUUUGAUAUAGAUGAUGCUGAGGUGAACAACCGUUUUUGUGUUUUUCUAGGCAUAUUACUACUUGUCUAAUUCCACCUUUGAAUCCCAUGUAAUGGAAGAGUUAGUGUAGGAGAUUUAAAAAUUCAAAUAGCAUUUGCUGAUUUUCUCUGCUCACGGUUGCUUUGGGGGCCUUCUUGCCAGAAAUAUCAGAGGAAUUAACUCAAGUAAAAAUAAUCAUAUUUCCCAUUUCCUACAACUUAUAGCUGAAUUCUAUACACAACAUUUCUGUUAUAUCUGAUCUUUCAUGUUUCAAAAACAACCACCUGAUCUUCCAGGUUCCAAAAACAACCACAGUUUUUUAACCAUGAAUUGCUAUUCCGAAGAUCUAGAAACUGGUGUGAUUCCAUGUUCAAGCUCUGUGAUUUGUGAUUUACAGGAACACUCAUGCCAUCUUCAUAUUCCUGCUUGUUAUUGCUGUUAUCAUAGAUGUUAUUAUUCAAGAUUUGUCUCCUUCUGGUAUUACUUUGUUCUCUCAUGUGAGUGCAUGCGUUCUGCGAUCAUGCACAUGCAGGUUUGUUUGUGCUUCCCUUAGGAUUUUCAGGAACUCUUAUGCAAUCUUCUUCGUGCCUGCUAAAUUGAUUUCUAGUGCCUUUUGCUAUCAUAAAUACUAUUUUAAACAAGAAUUAUGUUGUCCCAGUGUUGCUUUGCGCACUCUAGUGAGUGUGUGCACAUGCAGUCUGUGUGAUGCAAUCUUUCAUAGGGAACAAGAUUUGUGUUGUUCCGGUGUUGCCUUCUGCACCUUUUCAUUCGUUUAUAUCUUGUCAAAAAGUGAAAAUCUCUGGGUUUGGUAUCCUAUUACUUCUAUUACUUUCUUCAAUUUCCUGUAAUCAACUGAGCAAAUUAAAAGAGCACGAGCAUUAUUCAACAUGGCUCCAUUUUCUCUAUUUCCCCUACUUGAAAAUGAUAACGGUUUUUGUGAAUUAUCUUGUCAAAGAGGUUCUUCAAUAUUUGCAGUUUGUUGGGUUCGUCUAAGAAUAUAACUUACAUUUUUAUAUGAACUGUCUGGCAAGUGUUCCAAUGACCCCCAAAGAUACAUACGACUGAUAUCUGAAAAUACUUUAAUUUCAUAAUUCUUAUCACAAGUCUAGGUGCAUGACUUGAGUUUUUUUUUGUAUUUUAAAAUCUAUUUCUUUUGCUUUUGUUCUUUUAAUGCAUGGUUGAAAUUGUUGCAAUGUCUUUUCAACAAAAUCACUCAGCAUUGGGAAUGGGAAUAAAGCUCCAAUCCUUGAUGGUUUUUCUUUUCUUGGUAUUGGUAUAUCUUUCUUGGUAAAGAAGAAAUGGAGUCUUUUCUUGGGCCACCCAUGAAGAGAGUCUGGGUAAUGUACUUACAGGAGUUGGAGUGUGAUUAGCCUGUUCGUUAGAGCAUGGAGAGGCAGGAUGUAGUUGGCUCUUCUUUUGAAAUUUUUUAACUUUAACCAUUAGAUGAUUCAUUCUGCACACCUAAGCAAUGUUUGCUUAAUUUUUAUUCUUAGGUAUUUCCUUCUUUUCCAGCUAAUCAUUAUUAGUAGAAGAUAUACAAACUUAAUACAAAAGAAAUAUGAUAUUGGUCUCUAUUUCUAAAGAAACUUGUGUAGCGAGUACCUAUUCUUUCGUGAUAUGAAUAAGAAAUGAUAUAAAUUUUUUGAUUUAUAAACUAGUGAUUCCAUUACAAUUUUUAUUUGAAUGCAUAAGAAUAUAGUUUUAUGGUACUCUGAAAGUAAGAGAUAGUGAGCGACUUCUAUUGUUCUUUUUAAAUGUUGAUUAUUUAUUUAUAUUUGUCUGCUAAAACAUUCAAAUUGCCUUGUCAAACUUUCUGAGAUAUGAAGUAAUUUUCAGGUUUUAAUAUAUCUAGAAAUUCAUAUUGUACUAUCCUUUGGAUUUGAUUAGUUUUUUCCUUAUAGUUGUCAUACACAAAGAUGCAUGCAUCAACUGACAUUUUUAACAUUCCAAUUUAUAUUUGAAGAAUCACGCUUAUUUUCCAUUUUUUUCUUUAAAAAACAGUUUUACUAUUUUUAUUUCAUAAAAGCAUUAGAUCUUUUUUACCCAUCAAUAUCAAUAUACAAACUCGUGGUCCAGUGGCCUGCUUUAUCCCCCCCAACUCCCCCCAAAACAAUGCUCACCAUUCCUGCAUUUGUAACAUCACUUGUUGAGUUUUAAUUGACUUUUUUUAUGGUUUUGGCCAAAUUAUUUGAACAACAAAUAUAACCUGUAGGAUCAGUCAUCACCAGAAAAAUUUCAACAUUACAUUUUUAGUUAUAAACUAAAAAGUUUUUAUAGUGACAAUUAUUUGAUUUAUGUUUUGUUCAUCUUGCAUCAAUUCAU